rnacentral:rRNA from 1 species
GAGUUUGAUCCUGGCUCAGGAUGAACGCUGGCGGCGUGCCUAAUACAUGCAAGUCGAACGCUUUGUGGUCCAACUGAUUUGAAGAGCUUGCUCACAUAUGACGAUGGACAUUGCAAAGAGUGGCGAACGGGUGAGCAACACGUGGGAAACCUACCUCUUAGCAGGGGAUAACACUUGGAAACAAGUGCUAAUACCGUAUAACACUAAUAACCGCAUGGUUAUUAGUUAAAAGAUGGUCUUGCUAUCACUAAGAGAUGGUCCCGCGGUGUAUUAGCUAGUUGGUAAGGUAAUGGCUUACCAAGGCAAUGAUACAUAGCCGAGUUGAGAGACUGAUCGGCCACAAUGGGACUGAGACACGGCCCAUACUCCUACGGGAGGCAGCAGUAGGGAAUCUUCCACAAUGGACGAAAGUCUGAUGGAGCAACGCCGCGUGUGUGAUGAAGGGUUUCGGCUCGUAAAACACUGUUGUAAGAGAAGAAUGACAUUGAGAGUAACUGUUCAGUGUGUGACGGUAUCUUACCAGAAAGGAACGGCUAAAUACGUGCCAGCAGCCGCGGUAAUACGUAUGUUCCAAGCGUUAUCCGGAUUUAUUGGGCGUAAAGCGAGCGCAGACGGUUAUUUAAGUCCGAAGUGAAAGCCCACAGCUUAACUGUGGAAGUGCUUUGGAAACUGGAUAACUUGAGUGCAGUAGAGGAGAGUGGAACUCCAUGCUGUAGCGAUGAAAUGCGUAGAUAUAUGGAA